rnacentral:tRNA from 1 species
GAGGGUGAAGCUCAGUGGUAGAGCGCAUGCUUAGCGUGCACGAGGUCCUGGGUUCAAUCCCCGGUACCUCCA